UAAGGAAGCUUGAGGCAAUAACAGGUCUGUGAUGCCCUUAGAUGUCCUGGGCCGCACGCGCGCUACACUGAUACAGGCAACAAGUUCCGCGACAGACAUGUCCCGGGAACCUUCAAACUGUAUCGUGAUGGGGAUUGACUCUUGUAAUUAUUGGUCAUGAACGAGGAAUUCCUAGUAAACGCAAGUCAUCAGCUUGCAUUGACUACGUCCCUGCCCUUUGUACACACCGCCCGUCGCUCCUACCGAUUUGAGUGACGAGGUGA
rnacentral:rRNA from 14 species